rnacentral:rRNA from 1 species
GAUGAACGCUGGCGGCGUGCCUAAUACAUUCAAGUCGCGCGAAGAGGGGACGGGUGAGUAACACGUGGAUAACCUCCUAUAAGACUGGGAUAACUUCGGGAAACCGGAGAUAACCCGGCUACUUAUAUAUGGAUCAGCGCUGCAUUAGCUAGUUGGUACGGUAACGGCUUACCUAGUCAACGAUGCAUACACGACCUGAUAGGGGGAUCGUCCACACUGGAACUGAUCUACGGUCCAGACUCCUACGGGAGGCAGCAGUAGGGAAUCUUCCGCAAUUGGCGAAAGCCUGACGGACCGACGCCGCGUGAGUGAUGAAGGUCUUCGGAUCGUAAAACUCUGUUAUUAGGGAAGCGGUACCUAAUCAGAAAGCCACGGCUAACUACGCGCCAGCAGCCGCGGUAAUAC